UGGGGAAUAUUGCACAAUGGAGGGAACUCUGAUGCAGCGACGCCGCGUGAACGAAGAAGGCUUUCGAGUCGUAAAGUUCUUUUAUAUGGGAAGAUAAUGACGGUACCAUAAGAAAAAGCCCCGGCUAACUACGUGCCAGCAGCCGCGGUAAUACGUAGGGGGCUAGCGUUGUCCGGAAUCACUGGGCGUAAAGGGUUCGCAGGCGGAAAUGCAAGUCAGGUGUAAAAGGCAGUAGCUUAACUACUGUAAGCAUUUGAAACUGCAUAUCUUGAGAAGAGUAGAGGUAAGUGGAAUUUUUAGUGUAGCGGUGAAAUGCGUAGAUAUUAAAAAGAAUACCGGUGGCGAAGCCGACUUACUGGGCUCAUUCUGACGCUGAGGAACGAAAGCGUGGGUAGCAAACAGG
rnacentral:rRNA from 1 species